CCUACGGGGGGCUGCAGUAGGGAAUCUUCCACAAUGGGCUAAAGCCUGAUGGAGCAACGCCGCGUGGGUGAAGAAGGUCUUCGGAUCGUAAAACUCUGUUGUUAGAGAAGAAAGUGCGUGAGAGUAACUGUUCACGUUUCGACGGUAUCUAACCAGAAAGCCACGGCUAACUACGUGCCAGCAGCCGCGGUAAUACGUAGGUGGCAAGCGUUAUCCGGAUUUAUUGGGCGUAAAGGGAACGCAGGCGGUCUUUUAAGUCUGAUGUGAAAGCCUUCGGCUUAACCGGAGUAGUGCAUUGGAAACUGGGAGACUUGAGUGCAGAGAAGGAGAGUGGAACUCCAUGUGUAGCGGUGAAAUGCGUAGAUAUAUGGAAGAACACCAGUGGCGAAAGCAGCUCUCUGGUCUGUAACUGACGCUGAGGUUCGAAAGCGUGGGUAGCAAACAGGAUUAGAUACCCGGGUAGUC
rnacentral:rRNA from 1 species